rnacentral:rRNA from 1 species
GACGUAGGGCGCGAGCGUUGUCCGGAUUUAUUGGGCGUAAAGAGCUCGUAGGCGGUUUGUCGCGUCGACUGUGAAAACCCGCGGCUCAACCGUGUGGUCUGCAGUCGAUACGGGCAGGCUAGAGUUCGGUAGGGGAGACUGGAAUUCCUGGUGUAGCGGUGAAAUGCGCAGAUAUCAGGAGGAACACCGGUGGCGAAGGCGGGUCUCUGGGCCGAUACUGACGCUGAGGAGCGAAAGCGUGGGGAGCGAACAGG